UCCUACGGGAGGCAGCAGUGGGGAAUAUUGCACAAUGGGGGAAACCCUGAUGCAGCAACGCCGCGUGAGUGAAGAAGUAUUUCGGUAUGUAAAGCUCUAUCAGCAGGGAAGAAGAAAGACGGUACCUGACUAAGAAGCCCCGGCUAACUACGUGCCAGCAGCCGCGGUAAUACGGAGGAUGCGAGCGUUAUCCGGAUUUAUUGGGUUUAAAGGGUGCGCAGGCGGGGGAUCAAGUCAGCGGUAAAAUGUCGGGGCUCAACCCCGGCCGGCCGUUGAAACUGGGUUUCUAGAGUUGGAGAGA
rnacentral:rRNA from 1 species